CCUACGGGAGGCAGCAGUGAGGAAUAUUGGUCAAUGGGCGGGAGCCUGAACCAGCCAAGUCGCGUGAGGGAAGACGGUCCUAUGGAUUGUAAACCUCUUUAGGCGGGGAGCAAUGCCGGGCACGCGUGCCCGGAGGGAGAGUACCCGCAGAAUAAGCAUCGGCUAACUCCGUGCCAGCAGCCGCGGUAAUACGGAGGAUGCGAGCGUGCUCCGGAUUUAUGGGGUUUAAAGGGUGCGUAGGCGGAUUUUUAAGUCAGCGGUAAAAUGUCCGGGCUCAACCCGGGCCGGCCGUUGAAACUGGGGAUCUUGAGUGGGCGAGAAGUAUGCGGAAUGCGUGGUGUAGCGGUGAAAUGCAUAGAUAUCACGCAGAACUCCGAUUGCGAAGGCAGCAUACCGGCGCCCGACUGACGCUGAGGCACGAAAGCGUGGGGAUCGAACAGGAUUAGAUACCCUGGUAGUC
rnacentral:rRNA from 1 species